rnacentral:rRNA from 1 species
GGACGAAAGUCUGAUGCAGCAACGCCGCGUGGGGGAUGAAGCUUCUCGGAGUGUAAACCCCUUUCGACCUGGAAGAAUGCCCGCAAGGGUUUGACGGUACAGGUAUAAGAAGCCCCGGCUAACUACGUGCCAGCAGCCGCGGUAAUACGUAGGGGGCCAGCGUUGCUCGGAAUUACUGGGCGUAAAGGGUCCGUAGGCGGUGUGGUAAGUCGGGAGUGAAAUCUCUGGGCUUAACCCAGAGGCUGCUUCCGAAACUGCCGUGCUAGAGUGUGAGAGAGGCGAGUGGAAUUACGGGUGUAGCGGUGAAAUGCGUAGAUAUCCGUAGGAACAUCCGAGGCGAAGGCGGCUCGCUGGAUCACAACUGACGCUGAGGGACGAAAGCUAGGGGAGCAAACAGGAUUAGAUACCCUGGUAGUCCUAGCCCUAAACCAUCAGGACUUGGGGUUUGCCCUGUACGGGGCAAGUCCCGUAGCUAACGCGUUAAGUCCUGCGCCUGGGGAG